UCUUUCUCUGUCAACCGAACUCUUCUCCCUCUCUAAUGGCUAAACUCAAUUUUCUCCAUUUGCCUAGUUACAAGCCUUGCGUAAGUGUUCAUCUUCCAUAACCAUUCAUUAGAUAAGAAAGAAUAUGUCAAUUCUACACUUCACUCCCUCUUAUCUCACGGACUCUCUCUCUCAAAAUCCCAAUCUUCAAAUUGGUUUAAUUCAGAUUGCAUGUGCUUAACCUCAUGAUUUGGAGUUUCUGAGUGUUGGAAAUUAAGGUAAGAGUUACAAUCUCUUCUUCUCCUCUCUGACCAUCCCAUUCUUUGUUCUUAGAAAACCUAGAUUUAAUCUUACUAUCUUGUGCUUGCAUGUGAGUUGUUUGGGGAUUGAAGAAAACAGAUUAAAUUUGAAGGGAUUGGAUUGGUAAUUUUGGAGCAAACAAGAAGAAAUGGGAAUUUUGGUAUCAAACCCGUAUUCAAGGACAGACCUGCACUAAAAAGGUAAAUAGGUUAACCGGAGCAAGGACCAGGCAUGAACUGAUGAUCGAGGUUGAUCUUGGAUUAUCGGAUUAGAAGACUAUCGUCUUCUUCUUUGUUUUUAUGUUAAUCUGUUAAGUUAGAAUUUAAUUCUCUUCCGCUAUAUUGUACCGGAUUAUCACGUUAUUCAUGUGAUAUCUUGUAAUUCAAUUAAUUUAUUCUGUAAUUUUAAUGUACUCAGAUUCAAUUA